UGAGUAACCUGCCCUUGACUCUGGGAUAAGCCUGGGAAACCGGGUCUAAUACCGGAUACGACCUUCCGCCGCAUGGCGGGGGGUGGAAAGCUUUAGCGGUUUUGGAUGGACUUGCGGCCUAUCAGCUUGUUGGUGAGGUAAUGGCUCACCAAGGCGACGACGGGUAGCCGGCCUGAGAGGGUGACCGGCCACACUGGGACUGAGACACGGCCCAGACUCCUACGGGAGCAG
rnacentral:rRNA from 1 species